AGAGUUUGAUCCUGGCUCAGAUUGAACGCUGGCGGCAUGCCUUACACAUGCAAGUCGAACGGCAGCGCGGGAGCAAUCCUGGCGGCGAGUGGCGAACGGGUGAGUAAUAUAUCGGAACGUGCCCUGGAGUGGGGGAUAACUAGUCGAAAGACUAGCUAAUACCGCAUACGAUCUAAGGAUGAAAGUGGGGGAUCGCAAGACCUCAUGCUCCUGGAGCGGCCGAUAUCUGAUUAGCUAGUUGGUGGGGUAAAAGCUCACCAAGGCGACGAUCAGUAGCUGGUCUGAGAGGACGACCAGCCACACUGGGACUGAGACACGGCCCAGACUCCUACGGGAGGCAGCAGUGGGGAAUAUUGCACAAUGGGCGCAAGCCUGAUGCAGCGACGCCGCGUGAGGGAUGACGGCCUUCGGGUUGUAAACCUCUUUCAGUAGGGAAGAAGCGAAAGUGACGGUACCUGCAGAAGAAGCGCCGGCUAACUACGUGCCAGCAGCCGCGGUAAUACGUAGGGCGCAAGCGUUAUCCGGAAUUAUUGGGCGUAAAGAGCUCGUAGGCGGUUUGUCGCGUCUGCCGUGAAAGUCCGGGGCUCAACUCCGGAUCUGCGGUGGGUACGGGCAGACUAGAGUGAUGUAGGGGAGACUGGAAUUCCUGGUGUAGCGGUGAAAUGCGCAGAUAUCAGGAGGAACACCGAUGGCGAAGGCAGGUCUCUGGGCAUUAACUGACGCUGAGGAGCGAAAGCAUGGGGAGCGAACAGGAUUAGAUACCCUGGUAGUCC
rnacentral:rRNA from 1 species